rnacentral:rRNA from 1 species
AACGUAGGGGACAAGCGUUAUCCGGAUUUACUGGGCGUAAAGCGCCCGUAGGCGGCCUGACAAGUUGGACGUGAAAGCUCCUGGCUUAACUGGGAGAGGCCGUUCAAAACUGUCAAGCUAGAGUCCGGAAGAGGAGAGUGGAAUUCCUGGUGUAGCGGUGAAAUGCGCAGAUAUCGUAAGGAAGACCAGUGGCGAAGGCGGGUCUCUGGACAGUUCCUGACGCUGAGGCACGAAGGUCAGGGGAGCAAACGGG